AAUAUUCUCGUAUGGCAGAUUAGUGCGGUAAAUUUAAGCUUUAUACAAGUAACGUAAUGUGUUACUAUUAGUA
rnacentral:tRNA from 1 species